rnacentral:rRNA from 1 species
GGGAAUGCCUAGGCUCUCAGAGGCGAUGAAGGACGUGAUAAGCUGCGAAAAGUUGCGGGGAUCUGCACACAAGAAUUGAUCCGCAAAUAUCCGAAUGGGGCAACCUGGCAUAUUGAAGAUAUGUUAUCCGCAAGGAGGCGAACCCGGAGAACUGAAACAUCUAAGUACCCGGAGGAGAAGAAAACAAAAGUGAUUCCGAUAGUAGCGGCGAGCGAACUUGGAUUAGCCCAAACCAAUAUUGUUACGGCAAUAUUGGGGUUGUAGGACUACGAUAUUCUGUGCUUUAUGAAUUAGAACGCUUUGGAAAGAGCGGCCAUAGACGGUGAUAGCCCGGUAUAAGUAAAGACAGUUACAGAUAGUAGUAUCCUGAGUAGUGCGGGGCACGUGAAACCCUGUAUGAAUUUGGCGGGACCAUCCGUUAAGGCUAAAUACUCCUGAGAGACCGAUAGUGAACCAGUACCGUGAGGGAAAGGCGAAAAGAACCCCUGUGAGGGGAGUGAAAUAGAACCUGAAACCGUAUACGUACAAGCAGUGGGAGCCCUUCGGGGUGACUGCGUACCUUUUGUAUAAUGGGUCAGCGACUUAUAUUUAGUAGCAAGGUUAACCGAAUAGGGGAGCCGUAGCGAAAGCGAGUGUUAACUGCGCGUUUAGUUGCUAGGUAUAGACCCGAAACCGAGUGAUCUAGCCAUGGGCAGGUUGAAGGUUGAGUAACAUCAACUGGAGGACCGAACCGACUAACUUUGAAAAGUUAGCGGAUGACUUGUGGCUGGGGGUGAAAGGCCAAUCAAACUCGGAGAUAGCUGGUUCUCCCCGAAAGCUAUUUAGGUAGCGCCUCGGACGAAUACCACAGGGGGUAGAGCACUGUUAAGGCUAGGGGGUCAUCCCGACUUACCAACCCUUUGCAAACUCCGAAUACCAAUGAGAACUAUCCGGGAGACACACGGCGGGUGCUAACGUCCGUCGUGGAGAGGGAAACAACCCAGACCGCCAGCUAAGGUCCCUAAAUAUUACUAAGUGGGAAACGAGGUGGGAAGGCUAAGACAGCUAGGAGGUUGGCUUAGAAGCAGCCACCCUUUAAAGAAAGCGUAAUAGCUCACUAGUCGAGUCGGCCUGCGCGGAAGAUGUAACGGGGCUAAGUAAUAUACCGAAGCUGCGGACGCAAAGUUUACUUUGCGUGGUAGGGGAGCGUUGUGUAAGUGGCUGAAGGUGAGCUGAGAGGCGAGCUGGACAUAUCACAAGUGCGAAUGCUGACAUGAGUAACGAUAAGGGGAGUGAAAAACUCCCCCGCCGGAAGACCAAGGUUUCCUGUCCCAUGCUAAUCAGGGCAGGGUAAGUCGGCCCCUAAGGCGAGGCAGAAAUGCGUAGUCGAUGGGAAACGGAUUAAUAUUUCCGUACUUGGUAUAUCAGUGAAGGGGGGACGGAGAAGGUUAUGCAAG